AAGCUCAUUUAGUUUUUUCUCUGCCUGAAAUAGAGAUGGCGGCGAUGCUGUCUUAGAAGUUAGAGAAUGAGAGAAAUUCACUGAUGGAAGUGGAGAUCGAGAAGAUUUUUAAAACAAGAGUUGGUCUGAGUUUCACUCCGUUUUUUUUAUUCAGAUGAAGAAUUAGUGAAGAUUGACAGAGGAGUUAGGGUUUGUAGGGUACUUGAUUCUGUAAAGAAAUUAAUGGAGAAGCUCUGUUGAUUCGAUGUGGUAAUUGAAUUGAAGAGAGAAAUUAAGAUUUUGGGUUUAAUUGUGAACUGCAGCCAGUAAUGGAAUUGAUGAAAAAUCAACAAGAAUUACAGAUUUGUUGGGGUUGAAUUUGAAUUCAGGUGAGCAAGGAAGAUGGGUUUUCAGCCGAAUCGAUACUGGAUAUGAAGGAUAGAAGGAAUUUGUUGAUGUUUACUCGCUGUUGAUAUUUGUGACGAAUUUAGGGUUUGUGGUUGUUCAAAGGGUUUCUGAAUUUGAGAUUUAGAAUCAAGGAAGAAGAAAAUGGUGACGAUAAACAACCAAAUUCAGGUGGUAUGUGCUGUUGAGGGUGAUUUCCAAUGGUUUAUGGAGUUGAGCUGGGUUUGUGUUAGAUUCUGUGAAAUUACAGUGAGAAAAUGGCUUUCAAUGAUGAACAGGGUGAAGAAAUGGGUUUCUGCUGUAGCUGGAGAUGAAAUUCUGGAACUCAAAGGCAUUGAAGCUGAUCUGAUGUGCAGAAUAUGAUGGUGCUGUGAGCUGGUGUUGAGCUGAACUGACAAGAAUUGAGCUGCAGUUGGAGGUGGAAUAGUACCGGUGGUAAAUGAAGUGUAGAUGCUGCAUAAGCAGAUGGAUUAUUGCAAUGGAUGAAUACAUGGUUUGAAUGUUAGUGGCUCGAGUAUGAGGACCAGGAGUUGACGCAGAAGAACAAGAAGGGUUAGAGCUCAUUCUUGAGCUGAGACAUUUGUUGCAGGUCAAAAGCUACAGUUGUGCAUUGGCUGAGAGUAUACACAAUGGAAGAUGGCAGGGAUUGAAAUGCAGAUAUGGUGUUGGAUGAGAUGCUGAUGCUAUUGGUGUUGUGUAUGGAAGUUACAGGAAACAUGAAAUUGAAGAUUUGGAGAGGCUGUAAAGAAACUCAGUAGAAGUAAUUGUGGUUGUAAGUCAAGAAGAACAAGAAGCUUCUAGUGCUAGUUGCUGAGAACUUGAUGGUUUCUGAGGAGAGAAUAUGGAUCUCAGGUAAAUGUGAUGGUUGCAGCUGGCGAAGCAAUGGAAGAAAUGGUGCUGCUAAGAUGGUGCUGGUUAUGUGCGAGACCGCAGGUGGUGGUUGAAAUUGAAUGACUGAGAUAUAGGAAUGGAUGCAAUUACAGGUUCUGGUUGAGUUUGAGCUGCUGAUCUUGUUCAUGAAUGUUAGUUGUUGUUGUUGCAAUAGAUUACAGUAGGAUAUUGAUUUCAAGGCUGGUGUUGUUACAUGAUGUACAUGGAAGAUAUCGGGUGUGCAGUUACAAGUGAUUUUGUGCCAGUGAUGAUCAGUGAACAAUGAAGAAUUAAAGGGUUUGUUUGAGUCUGAAUUUGCGGGAACUGAAAUGGCAGCUAUUAAUGGUAUUGAAAGGAGGUGCAAGAAGAAGCAUACAGUGUAUUGAUAAUUGAAGCUGCAGGAUGUGGGGAUAGUGAAAUUGCAAUGAAGGAAUUUGUGCUGCUGUAGGUAGAGCAUGGGUGUUGAGAUGCAGAUGGCAAGGUUGUGCAGAUUUGCGGCAUUGCAGGGAAUGGAGCUGAGUAUGUAUUGCCAGGGAUGUGGUGUCUGAAGCAGUGGUGAUGCUGCAAUAGGGUGGAAACCCCAGGUGUUAUGCAUUUGCAGUUGUGCAGAAGUUGGAAGAAAGAAUUGAGUAAGGGUUGUGAUGGUGUUGUGUUUGAAACUGUGGCUGCUAAGAAUGACCAGCCAUCAUGUCCGGGUUUGAGUAGUGUUGCACCAUGAUGGUGCAACACAGGAGUAGGCCGUGGCAAAAUGGCUGUGGCCUGGCAACCUAGCCUACUCAGCUGAGUUAGCUUCUGUCUCAGGUCUGACUACAUGUAGCUGACAUCACUGAGUUAACUCGAUUAUUCAUCCUGACUCGGCUGAGCUUUGACCGAGUUGACCCGUUUUACUUUGCCGGUCACCUGAUCCCAAUUUCCGGCGAAUCUUCGGCCAACUUCCGACCACUUUUCAGCGACAAUUUGGCAGAGUUUCUACAUGGGUUCAUCUCGCUUUUGGGCCACAUGGAUUUUCAUCUAAUGGGCUUUGAAGUUUUGACCUAGUUUUGGAAGGGAGAAAAGCUACGAAAAGGAAAAGUUUUCUACAACUUUGGGUAUCACGUAUUAUUUUCUACUUGGAGCUUUGGAGAGAACUUCUUCUAGGGUUUGCUUUCGUUUGUUUUCAUCUUCUUUAUUUUAUUGAUUAUGAUUAUGAUGAAC